ACUCCUCCCUCGACAGCAAACGCGUGGGAGCAAUACGAGUGCGUGCAGCAAGGGCAGCCCCCGCCCAAAUGCGUCUCACCCUGCCAUUUUAUCAUUUUCACACGGUGAAUAAUCACGCGUGGCGAGGACCACUGCUGAGUAGGUUUGCCACUGCAUCACCACGGCCCCAGCGCCACCCACCUGUGUUCGCACUGCCCGAACACACUGUGACACCGGCCGUGAGCCGAACACUGACCAGACACACCCCAGCGGUGCUGGGCGGGGGGGCUUAAAACCUCGGUGGCCCCUUCCAGCCUACAUCCAGUGUGGAUGUUUACUACCAUAAACCUGCUUCAAGACUCAGAGCACCACCACAUAUUCUGAAAAAGAAUAUCUUUACCUGAAUUCACGGUGUUGUUGGGCAGAGAAGGAAAAUAUAACAGAUACAUUCUGAAUGGUAGACUGGGGGAGAGCAAGAGGUCGGGACACAGCUGGGACAGCCAACCACAAAAUGAUCAACAUACUAAUAAAAGCUGAGGAAGCAAAAAAGAGGGUGACAUUCAGGUUUACAGCGUUUGUCUUCCUGAGGAACAGCUGUAUGUGAUGGAGCCUUGCUUUGCUGCAAAUGGAAGAACACCUGCCUUCCAAGGGGAAGUGCUGAGUUGAUUCCUUAUUUUGCCUUGCAUACAUGCACAGCUUGGCUUUACCUAUUAAACUGUCUUUAUCUGAA